GCUCGAGUGCGGGCCUCGCGGCCACCUCCCACCCUUGUCUCUAUACACCUGUUGCUUUGGCGGGCCCACCGGGGCCACCUGGUCGCCGGGGGACGCACGUCUCCGGGCCCGCGCCCGCCGAAGCGCUCUGUGAACCCUGAUGAAGAUGGGCUGUCUGAGUCAUGUGAAAAUUGUCAAAACUUUCAACAAUGGAUCUCUUGGUUCCGGCAUCGAUGAAGAACGCAGCGAAAUGCGAUAAGUAAUGUGAAUUGCAGAAUUCCGUGAAUCAUCGAAUCUUUGAACGCACAUUGCGCCCCCUGGCAAUCCGGGGGGCAUGCCUGUCCGAGCGUCAUUUCUGCCCUCAAGCACGGCUUGUGUGUUGGGUGUGGUCCCCCCGGGGACCUGCCCGAAAGGCAGCGGCGACGUCCGUCUGGUCCUCGAGCGUAUGGGGCUCUGUCACUCGCUCCGGAAGGACCUGCGGGGGUUGGUCACCACCAUGUUUUACCACGGUUGACCUCGGAUCAGGUAGGAGUUACCCCCUGACCUUAAGCAUAUCAAUAGCCGGAGGAA
rnacentral:rRNA from 1 species